GUCUGCAGCCAUGCCACCCAAGCCCAUCUGAUCUCGGAAGCUAAGCAGGGUCGGGCCUGGUUAGUACUUGGAUGGGAAAUCACCUAGGAAGACCAGGUGCAGUAGGCG
rnacentral:rRNA from 1 species